UCAAGGCCUACCUUCAAAGUCAGUGCCUCUUUGCUUGACAUCAUGGGAAAAUCAAAAGAAAUCAGCCAAGACCUCAGAUAAAAAAAAUUGUAGACCUCUACAAAUCUGGUUCAUCCUUGGGAGGAAUUUCCAAAUGCCUGAAGGAACUGUGACUCUACCUGUCCAAUCAAACACCUCGGCAGAACCCUAGAACUCGGUUUGACUGUUGGAUGAAACUACUGAUUGGCCGACAGGAUAUUCUUUACAACCCCAUUGGUCAAGAGAUUCUCCUUCACUACAAAUGGACUAAAUAUGGAGAGUCAACCAGGAAUAAAACGAAAGACUGUUGGAUCCUAUUCUAUGAACUACAUGGGUAGGACUCAAGCAAAGACUAUUGCACCUCAACCAUCCAGGAUAUUUCAAAUGGAUCUCAGGCCCUAGUUUGGCAUAGUGGGAGACUGUGGUUUGGCGGGAAUAUCAGGCGUAGGCUGUUUAAGUCACCAUUGCUCUGUGAGUUCUGGUGAACUUGUUUUCUCAGUGUGUUUUUCUGCUGUGUUGGAGUAGAAUUUCAAUGGCACACCUAUAACAGUCUCAGUGCAGACUUAAAGGGAUAGUUACAAUUACAAAAUUACAUAUUGGUUUGAAAUAUCCCUUUAAAAGAAGUAGAGAAUUGUGCAGCUUAAAUAUGUUGCUGUGUGACAAAAUAAAGUGAGGACAGGGAAUAGGUCGUAUCUUGUUACUGUGGUGGUGAGCAUGCCAGAUAGACUAGCAUUUUUACUUUUGUUUUACGUUUGCUUUUUUGUUUUGAGCUUUUGCUUUAAUGCCGUAAAUGUGUUUUGAAUUAAAUGUUAUUUCCUUAACUUAAAAAAUGUAAUCAGUUCAUCCCUAGUCGUGGGAGAAGAUCUGAUGUCAAACAGUAUUAGUAUGUAAUUCAAGGGGUAAUUCAAGUCAUGAUGACUGUUAUGAUUAUAACUGCACAUUUGAAGUGUUAUUGUCAUUGUGGAUGUUAUGUUAUUGAAUGACAGAGAUAGAGAAUCUACAGUACCUGUAUUCUCAUUUUAUUUUGAUGAACCUUUGUCUUUAACGUCUCGAAGAAUGUGAAAUCACGUAAACAAUGAUAACAUAGUUUCUCCCAUUUCUCCACCGCUAUGUCUUAGUGUUCAAAGAUGUCAACACUGCGAUUUCAGACACAGCUUUUGACACAACACUGUUCAGACAUGGUAGAUCUGGUCGUAUAAUUGGCAUCAUUGGGAUGGGUGGUGGGUCAGGAGGCUGGGUACGUAGGGUCGCAUCCCAAACGGUACCCUAUUCCCUAUAUAGUGCACUACUUUUAACCAGUGCCCUGUAGACUAUAUAGGGAAUAGAGUAAUAUUUGGGACACACCCCUAGCUUUCUGUUAGAAGGAAGUGUUUCAGUUUGUGCUUGUCUCACAUCCUCUGAGGAUGUUGUGAAAUGGGCGGAUGAUUGAUUUUCAUGAAAACAUCAACAUAAUUUUGUAAUGGCUGCUGUGUGUAUAGCAAAUGCAUAAUCAAUGGAAUCAAUGGUGAGGCCUCAUCAAUGCGACAACAGACGGUGAAUUGAUGCACAAUGGAAGACAUUGUAGUGAUCAGAUCACAGACAGGCGUCCCCACACAAGCACCUCCGGUCCUUACCCUCAUUGUAGCUAUGUCUUAACCCACAGCACUGCAUAUAACUGAGGCCUCUGCUUCUUUUCAAGGCUACAUAGCACUCCUAUUUAUAUGAAAGGAAAAUACUUAAACAAAAUACUGAACAAAACAUCAAUAAAGAACUGCCUGAAUGAUCAGUGCUUUGAGUUAGACCUGUUGCCAACCCUCUCAUAAGACCUGUACCCUUCAGUCUCCUCUCACCGUUGCUGCCAACUCAACCCUUACCCCAGGUUUCCAUAGUUACCUGGCACUGACUGACAAUGUCAUUGUGAUAAAACUCAGUUGAAAUGGAGAGACCAGAGUUACUUUUAUAAAGCCACCUCAUAUGUGUGUACAGAUGUAGGAUCUUACUUUGAUCACCCUAGUGUGGGGACUUAACCGCCAUGCAGGACAUUUAAAACUUGUAGUGUAUUUGAGGUUUAAAAAGGCUUCUGAAGUUUGUAAUUUACACUUUGAAAUUUCAGACUUAAUUUCUUCCCUUUUGAAAAAUGUAACAACCCCUACAAAAAUGUCCAUUAAUUAUAAUCCACAUAAUAAUACACAUUUCCUGUUGCUGCAGGAUUAUUUUCCUGUUGUAGCAAACUGGCUCAAAUGAAGAUCCUACAUCUGUAUGCAACUCGAUGUGUCUAAUAUUGUUGUUGGGGAACACUUGAAAAUGAAAACAAUGUGACUUUGUUUUUCAUGUUAAAAUGCAAUUUUGUUUCCUUUUUUCAUUACGAUGUUGAUGAUUAUUACUAUUAUUAUUCAAUAAAGUAUUGAGGUGAAAUUCC